rnacentral:rRNA from 1 species
AUGGAUCACGCGGCGGACACUUUCCGGACGGACCUGAUGACCAUCACGCGGCACGUGCUGAACGAGCAGAGCCGGCACCCGGAGUCGCGCGGCGACCUCACCAUCCUCCUCUCCCACAUCGUCCUCGGCUGCAAGUUCGUCGCCUCCGCCGUCAACAAGGCCGGCCUCGCCAAGCUCACCGGCCUCGCCGGCGAGACCAACGUCCAGGGGGAGGAGCAGAAGAAGCUGGACGUGCUGUCCAACGAGGUGUUCGUCAAUGCCCUCGUCAGCAGCGGCCGCACCUGCGUUCUUGUGUCCGAGGAGGACGAGAAGGCGACGUUCGUCGACCCUAAGCUCCGUGGAAAGUACUGUGUCUGCUUUGAUCCCCUGGAUGGAUCCUCCAACAUCGACUGCGGCGUCUCCAUCGGAACGAUCUUUGGGAUCUACAUGAUCAAGAACCAAGACACCGUGACUCUGGAGGAAGUACUGCAGCCUGGGAAGGACAUGAUUGCUGCUGGAUACUGCAUGUAUGGGAGUUCCUGCACGCUUGUCCUGAGCACUGGAAAUGGUGUCAACGGCUUCACGCUUGACCCUUCUCUUGGGGAGUUCAUAAUGACUCAUCCAGACAUCAAGAUACCGCCGAAAGGAAAGAUCUAUUCGGUUAACGAAGGGAAUGCCAAGAACUGGGACACCCCUACUGCAAAGUACGUGGAGAAGUGCAAGUAUCCCACGGAUGGUUCAUCACCCAAAUCAUUGAGAUACAUUGGCAGCAUGGUUGCUGAUGUCCACCGCACCUUGCUAUACGGCGGCAUAUUUCUGUACCCCGCGGACAAGAAGAGCCCGAGCGGAAAGCUCCGUGUGAUGUAUGAGGUGUUCCCCAUGUCAUUCCUGAUGGAGGAGGCUGGAGGCCAGUCUUUCACAGGCAAAGGACGGUCGCUCGACCUGAUCCCCACCGACAUCCACGAGAGAUCCCCGAUAUUCCUCGGCAGCAGCGACGACGUGGAGGAGAUCAAGGCGCUGUACGCGGAGGAGGCCAAGAAGGCAGGAUCUGCAUGA